CCCACCACCGAUCCAUUCACCACCACCACCAGUCCACUCACUCCCACCAUCACUAGUCCACUCACAUUCACCGCCAGUGCACUCGCCUCUACCACCAAUUCACUCACCCCCACCACCGGUUCAUUCACCUCCACCAUCAGUGCACUCGCCUCCACCACUAGUCCAUUCUCCUUCCCCACCAGCGCACUCGCCUCUACCACCCGUUCAUUCCCCUCCACCACUAGUGCACUCACCCCCACCACCAGUCCAUUUUCCUCCACCACCGCCAGUGCACUCGCCUCCACCACCAAUUCACUCACCUUCACCACUGGUCCAUUCACCUCCACCACCGGUGCGCUCGCCUCCACUACUAAUCCAUUCUCUUCCACCGCCAGCGUACUCACCUCCACCACCCGUUCACUCCCCUCCACCACCAGUGCACUCACCCCAACCACCAGUUCAUUCUCAUCCACCACCUGUCCAUUCUCUUCCACCACCAAUGCAUUCACCCCCACCACCCGUCCAUUCCCCCCCACCACCCGUCCACUCCCCUCCACCACUAGUGCACUCACCUCCACCACCAGUGCACUUACCCCCACCACCAGUCCAUUUUCCUCCACCACCAGUGCACUCACCCCCACCACCAAUCUACUCACCUCCACCACCUGUCCAUUCUCCUCCGCUACCAGUGCACUCACCCCCACCACCAGCACCAGUUCACUCACCGCCACCUCUAGUCCAAUCACCACCACCAGCUUCUCCAUCUUUAUCACCUCCUGUUCCCAUUUUCUCACCACCCCCUCCAGACUUCGUCUUGCCAUCGACCUUCGGGUUCCAAUACUCAUCUCCACCUCCGCCAAUGUUCCCAGGCUACUAAGCGCACUACGAUAUCAAACUCAUUGCUCGCCCCUGCAUGAAACUUUGUUUAUAAAUAUUUACAAUCUCACAAAAAUACACCCACUUUUGUUAGUUGACCAUAGCUUUUAAUUCAUGACAUCAAAGUGUAAAUCUUUUCAUAUGCUAUUCAAUGCAAUAAAAGGACGUUAUCGGCAAAUUGCAUAUCCAUUUUUUUUUCUUUUGUUUAAUUUGAAGAAUCUGAUGUGUGUGAAUGCAUACUACUACAAAAGAUCAAGCACCACUACAUCUAAUUCUAGGGUAAUUCUAGAGAGAUCAUAGUCUUCCUUGCAGUUUCCAUAAUUCUAUUAUAUUACCUUAUAACGUUGAUUAGUUUUCUAGACCGUCGUAAAAUGAGUGUUAGCUCACAUUUAAAAAAAAAUGUGAGUUUCUUCAAGAUCUUUUGUGUUCGUUUUAAAAGAAAAAUUUAUAAGCUACCAUUUAACUCUUAAUUAGGGGGUUUUAAGUUUGGAAACAAAAUACAAUAAAAUACUAGCUAUCGGGGCCUAUAUUGAUUUUUGACAGCUAUAAUGGAUUUUUGGCGGCCAAAACAUCUCUGUAAUAUCUUACAUGAAUUUAAAGAAGUUUUAUAGUGAAGUGUUAAUGCCAGAAAAUAGGUUUUAUGAUGGUGUUUGUGAAACUUUUGCAAAAACAAUUGAAACAUGAUGAGUUACACCUCACAAUUCUUGUAAGGCAUAAUUUGAUAUAUGUCCAUUUUUGUAAAGUUCUUAUUAGGAGUAGUUCAAUUUUGUGUAGGGUGGUGCUCUUCACACAUCAUUUUUUUUUUAGAGUAAAUUGUACAAAUGGUCCCUCAACUUUAAUUAAAUUGGAGCAAUGGUCCCUCAACUAAAAAUCCAUUACCUUUGGUCCCUCAACUUAUCAAAACGUGCAGCUAUGAUCCCUCAACUAAAAAUCCAUUACCAUUGGUCCCUGAACUUUAAUUCAAGUGGAGAAAUGGUCCUUUAACUUUAACCCAAUUGUAGCAAUGGUCCUUUCAAUAUAACUCGUUUUGACAAAUUUUUUGACAUAGUUGACGAAAAGAACCAUAAUUAUACACUUUGAUGAGUUAAGGGACCCUAAUUAUAUAAAUGAUCAUUCCAACAUAGCUUAUUUUGACAAAAUUUUGACAAAAUUGAUGAAAAGGACUAUAGCUACACAUUUUGAUAAGUUGAGGGACCAAUGGUAAUGGAUUUUUAGUUGAGGGACCAUUGCUCCAAUUUGAUUAAAGUUGAGGGACCAUUUGUACAAUUUACUCUUUUUUUUAUCUUCCACUCACAUUCUAUAAUUUUUGCCUUUUGAUCAUUUUUAAUUCAUUUGAUCCGACGGUAUUGAGACGAGCAUGUAGAAGGUAAAAGGGUGUGUGGAUAACAUUAGGGCCGUCUUUGAGAUUCCCUAUGCGAAAUUUAUAAAAGGACUCCUCGUUAAGAUAGUUACAAAAAAGUAAGACAAUAUAUUGAUGCUAAAAAACAAUCACUUAAAUCAAAACAAAAUUUAUCACUCACGGAUUGCAAGUUUACAAAUGUCAUUAAUUAUAAGUAAAAAAGCUACAAACAUAACCUUCAUUAAAUAAUAAUAAAAAUUCAAUCUUAAACAACCAAACAUGAAAAAAAUGAAAAAUGAAAAUAAAAAAUAAAAAAAUUCAAAACUCUAACUUUAAAGUUUCACUUGAAUAUUCUCUAUAAUAAAAUUGAAAAAAAAAAUAUCGUUUUUAGGAUGUUAUUAUUAACACUCAAAAUAUCUCAUUGUACUCCAAAUUUUUAUAUUUAAAAAGGAAAAAAAUUAUUCUUAUAAGGGUUCAAAUAUAGAACAUUAUUACAUAAUAUUAGAUGGCAAAAUUUUAGGACCCCUUCAAAUUUGGGGCCUUGUGCCCCCUCUAGACAAGACCACCCUGUUGUGUUAUUGUUGAAUUAUGUCUAAUGACAGAGACUCCAUGUAAGCAUUUUUUUUUGUAACAAAUUUAUCCCUUAAGUAAUUAGUAUUAUUCUAUAAUGUUAGUACCAAAUUCACGCAUCACUAUGUGUGGAGAAGAUGCACAAACUUGACUGCUUGUAAAAGAGUAAACGCAAGUAAGACAACAUUGGCACCAUUGGGGUACACCGACCAAAAAUUAAGUAUCAUUUGAGUUUUUGUUACGUUUCAUACCUCAGUCAUAAAUGAAAUAUAUUCAUCUACUUAUACCACAUUUGUUUUUAAUCUACCUCUAUCACAGGUUCUUUUUGCUAGGUUUUUGUGUUUGCCCUAUAACGUUUAUAAGUAUGUCAUACUUUAACCCUAAAAUGAAGGUAUCAUAUAUGCUUCCAUCGUUUUCUCAACCUCUGUGAUAUUAUUAUGGUUUUAUAGGUAUACACAACAUAUGAUUUUUUUUAAAACUAUUUUAUUUUAUUUUAUUUAAUAAAAAAGUACUUUCGUAGAUAAUUGUAAGUUUGAAUAUAUAUAAAUAUUUAAAAACUUAUGUUACUGGUGCGUUAGUUAAGGAUUUUUUUUUUUUGCAGAUUAGUUAAGGAAUUUAAAUAUAUUCUUUGUUACCUCAAAGAGUGAAAUAGGCACAAAAACAAGAAAAUAUAAUUGAACUCACUUAAAAUUUAGCAUAUGAUUUUGGACCUCAAUCUAAAAACCCAUUUUCAUAAAAUAUGUGACAGUUAUAUUUUUGCAAGAUCUUCCCAGUAAGAAAAUUAAUAUAAAUUAUGUGGAAGCGGUCUUGCAAUUUACUGAAUCUCAUAAGUGUUGUAAUUUAAGUUGGAAAACACAAAAAAUAAAUAAACUAGCAAGGCCUAAAAUACAUUUCGGAAGCCAGAACGGUUUUUUGGUCGCUAAAAUAUCUUUGGAAUGCCCUGUAAGAAUUAUAACGGAGCUUAUAGUGCAACAAAAAUGGCACGGAAAUUGAUUAUAUUGUAGAACUUUGCAAAAUCAUUAAAACUUAGGAUUAUAACUCACAAUAUUGUUAAAAAUACGAUUGUUGAGUACUUGAGUUUUAGCAUCGUUUUUGCACGCACAUCACAAAAAAUGUUAGGUAACGGGCCUACCAUUUGGUGACUCUUAUAAGUGAUUUUUAUAGCAUUUUAUGAUGGAGAAAUGGAAAAAUCUAUAAUAAAAUAGGAAUGAGGAUCCUCUUUGGAUCCUCUUUGUGAGGAUCCCGGGGAUCUUCCAAUUACGUCCAUUCAUCGUAUAUUGUAUAAUUAUUUUUCGUCAGGUACUAUUUAUAUUCAAUUUUAAAUAAAAAAAUUUACAAUGAUUUCUAACUGCACGAUGUAAAGAAAUGAUUGGAGGAUCCUCAUUCAUAAAAUAGUGGGAUUUAGAGCACAUAAAUAUCCGACAUCAAUUAAAAAAUUUCAACGGCAAAUGUGUAAUGUUCUGCUGACACACCCCGUCCCGAAGGAGGGCAUGCUGGCCGUCACGUGAGAGUGACGUAACCAUUUGCACAGUACGGAAGCUUUAAGAUACAAUUUAUAAGUUGAUACACCCGAAGGUGAGUCCUAAUUUUGUCCAAUCUGUCAGAACACCGUCGAAUUCCUCGUAGUCACCACACCUUUGUGAUUCCUGAACCUGGAGGGGCGCAAAACCAAAAUUGAGUGGGUCAGUAAAACAAUUCUUUUCCAAAUCCAAACAUUUCUCAAAACGUUGUAACCCCUCUUCGUAAAACCUGUAUACUUUCCCAGAAAUGUAAAAUAUAAAUAUACAUAUAUAUUCUCAAUACUUCAAUUCAUUAACUCAACAUUUUUCAGUACAAAUAUGCCAUGCCAUGUCGGAAUUCAACAGUUAAUUAUGGAUGCAUCAACAAUAAUCAUAUCAGGUGUAAGAAAGUGAUCAACCGGAGGCCCUCUAAUAGCCCUGUACGGUUGAACCUAGAGCUCAAAAUCUAUCACUAUCACUCUGCCGGAGUCACCUCUGUGACCUGUACGGCCUUCUGCACAUAAGUUACGCUCUAGUGCUUUCUCAUUAAUCAUCUGUGCACAUAAUCUAAGGUCACCCACCAGUCGAAAUCUCACUAACACUCUUCGACUGGCCCGUCGCACCCACUCCGCGUGGACUGUGCGACCAGCAUCUACUUGGAUCCAAGGCGAGCGUGCGAUGCGGUGAAUACUAUAAGCACUAAACUAUGGUGCAGGAUUUGAGCUCAAUAUACAUCAACAUCAUCAUAUCAGUAUUUAAAUACUCACCUGAUACUCACCUGUGCGUCCGCCGCACCAUUCAUUCAUAUGCAUCAUAUCUCAAUUCAUACUUUUCAUAUCAUUUCAUGCAUGGCAAUUCGAUUCACAUUUCUAUAUACUAUGCAUAUACUUUUAUGCAUGGCAUCUCAAUUCACAUUUCAAUAUACUUUUCAUAUAAUUUUAUACAUUGCAUUUAAAGCAUAAUUUCAUGCAUUUUCAAUUUCUGGGAAAACGGUAAGUAUAUAUGUAUACGGAAAACAAAACUGCCCACUCACCUGGAGUUCGCCCUACAACUCCCUAGCACAAUACGCCAAGCGUCAUGACGAUCGGCGCCUAAAACAAUAAUCAAUUCCAACCUCAGAAUUCAUAUCGAUAGAAUAUAUAACUUAUACAAAAUACGUCACUACGUAGUUCAAUCCGGAAGAUCCACCACUCAGAUUUUAAAUCCAUAACUUCCAGAGGUCCACAAUAUAUCUCUAGGAUAACUUCCUAAAAUUUCAUUACCAUCCAACGGUCGGAUCUCCGUCAAUUUCCAAAACUAAGUGACGGUUAACAUUUUAUUUUAUGAACUUACAACUCCAAUUCCGGAAGAUCCGUAACUCGGAUUCCCAAUCCGUAAGUUCCAAUAAUCCUCAAACAUUACGUAUUGCAACGUAUUAAAUUUUGGUAACGAUCCAACGGUCGGAUCAUCAAUUCACAUUUUCACCUAAUGCGAAAACUAUAAAACGUUAUUCGAACACCUAACCAACAAUCCUUAAUAACUUUCUCAUACGGUGCUCAAUUUGGGUAUAUGAAUAUACCACAGUGAUCUACUCGACGUCACGGACGUCGACAUAUUUUUAAAAUAAUAUUUUAAUGUAUCACGCGCCCCCACGCGCCAAGGAAGGCACGGGUCCACGCGCGCCCACGCGCACCUUCUUCCUCGCGGGUUCGCCGGACUGGUUUUUCCGGUGGCCGGAAAACUGGGGAAUUUUCAAAUGCUUCGUUCUCCUUCGUUUCUCAACCAUUUUCUUCGUAUAAUAUAUCAAUUUAAAGCCCUCAACAAGAAUCACAAUAUACUACUUUUAAGCUUCAAAAACAACUAAAUCUCACCGGAAAAAUCCAAGCAAAACCGGCCAAACUUAACCCUCGUGAUCCCGACGUCCAAAUCCUUCCAACGAAGCACUCCGAGCUUCCUUGGGACCUCACUAAGCUCGCUGUGAUCUUGUUUUAGCCUAAAUCGUAACCAUUUAAAAGAUCAUGAACAGUACAUAAACACGGGACCUUAAAAACUAGGGUUUUCCGAAGCAAAACUUACCUGAAAUGGAUACCAUCGUGAUCGUGAAGUCUUCAGGGUUCCAAUGGUGGUCUUAGAUUCGUCGUUGGUAUAGAUUUAGGGUGGUUUUGUGGUGGUCCGUGUGAGUUCGAAUGAGAGGGAGAGAGAACUGAGAGUUUCGUGAGGGAGGAGAGAGAGAGUGACAAGGUACGGGAAUUGGGGAAGGUUUUGAGGGAUGUGGGAUCCCCCCGUGUCCAACUCAAUCUCAAUUUCAAACUUUUAACAUAGAGUCUUGGUUUAGGUUUCUAAAACCAAUUAAUAUUCCAAUUCACCAAAGUUUAAGAACCUUAAGUAAAAACAAGUGUCCAAAUUACGUACUUUAGUCCCGUUUAGGGACAUUUUCGUAACUUCACGUCCUCGGAAUUAAAAAUUCCGGGACGGGCUGUGACAAUCUUCCCUCCUUAUAGAAUUUCGUCCCCGAAAUUCCAGCAAUCAACUAAAUCAACCAUACUCCAACAAUAGCCUCAAAUAAAUCUCUCUCAUCCGAUUCUCUUUCUCCCACAUAAUUUUCUACUGAAUGAUUUCCUUCACAAGCUUUUACCACUAUUCUGUCUUAAUUCUCAGGACCUUCUUUUUCCAAUCCCAAGUCGUCCAUAGCUCCUUACUAAUCAGAUCCGGCUUAAUUCUCAAUAGUUGCACCAAAGUCCCAUGUAACGACUCUGCCACUUAGUGACAACGCAUCGAACACAAAAUACAUUAUGUGCCUUAGCCAAUUCUGAAGGCAUCACAAACUUGUAUGCAACUUCGUCGAUUCCUUUAAUGAUCAAAACGGACUGAUGUGUUCAAGACUUAUCUUGUCUCCCUUUCUGAAUCUUACUAUUUCUGUUCAUGGUGAAAUUUCCAAAAAUAUCAAACCAUUUACCUUACACACUUGAUUAGUGGCAUAUCCAUCUGUUAAUCUCUUUUGUCAUUCCUGGCUACUUUCAGGUUAACUUACUCACCUGAAUAUUUUGAGGAGACUCAUCCAUAGUCUCAGGGCCCGCAAGAACUCUUUUGACAACUUCUGUCCAACACAAAGGUGUACUAUAAGGUAACUUGGUAACCAAGCUUCUUGUACGCUAUCCAAAACUUAGAAGUAACCAACAUACUCAAAAACUUAACAGUGUACAUCGUCAAAAUUGCUUUCUUUAAUUCCACAUAAUUUGGCACAUACGUCCCAUUCUCUUGCAUAAACAUACCAUCCAAUUCUGCCUCGGUUAAUUCUUGAAUUCCUUCGUCAAGCAUUUGAGUCUCGAGUACGACCUUACCAAAUAGGCCUAACUUGAAAUUUAACAAGUACAACUUCUUCUCGAUCUUCCAUUCUUAAUUUUUUUUUUCCGUUGGUUUUCAAUCCCCAAGAUGAUACUCUUGGCAAACAUGCCAGACAUUAAUCUUACUGUAGUCUUCUCACCAAGUGCUUCAGCUAGAACAAACUUUACGAUCACCCUGAUCGUACAAUCAUGUUCAUUAAGCAAUACAAGUCACAUUCGCUGCCUCAUAUCAAAAUCCUUCCGAGUAAUGAAUAUUGAAGACUUUUUGGAUUCGUAAAAAUCUUGCAUUCUUACCAAAUAUAAUGCCUUCAUAACUUCACAGCAAGAAUGGUAAUCAUGACUUCCAAGUCACCCGUAGGGUAAUUCAUCUCAUGAGAUUCCAUUUGUCAUGAAACGUAUGCAAUCACCCUAACAUUUGCAUCAACAUGCCUCCAAUACCAUUCAAGAAACAUCACUAAAAAUUUAUGAUUACCACUAUCUUCUAGGAAUACCAAAAUACGUGCAUGAGUGAGGAAAUACUUCAGUUGUUGAAUCCUUUGCUCACAAUUUCCUUCCCACUCAUACAUGACCUCUUUUCUCAACAGUCUCGUCAAUGACAAAGCAAUGACUGAAAAAUCUUUCACAACCAUCCAAGAUAGCCUGGUAAGCUAAGAAAUUCCAAAUCUCAAUUACGACUCGUGGUUGUUCCAAAUUUUAAUUUCUGUUACCUUUUAAGGUUUCACUUGAAUACCUUAAGAAUAUAUAACAUAUCCCAGAAAUGCUGCUUGAUUCAUCCAACAUUCGCAUUUGCUAAACUUAGCAUACAAUCGACAUUCUUCCAAUCUUUGUUCUACCGACUUAAUACGUUUACAUGCUCUGCUCUGGCUCAGAAUAUGCCAGAAUAUCUUCAAUGAAAAUGAUAUCUAUUUAUCAAGGCAUUAUUGGAAUACUUCAUCCAAUAAUUCAUAAAACAGCAUGAGUAUCCAUAUAGCAUCACCAAAUUUCAUAAAAACUAUAACGAGUCCAGAAAAACAAUCUUAGGAACAACGUUACUCAUAAUCUUCAAUUGAUAAUAAACAGACCUCAAGAUCCAUUUUCUUCCUCACCAACAAAUUGGGGCUCCUCAAAAGUGUUGUACUAGGUUGAAUAAAACUUUUAUCAACCAAUUCUCUCAACUGAAUUUCCAAUUCCCUUAACUCAUCAUGAACCAAUCUUUAACAUAAAUUUAUACCUGGCAACAAUUCAAUAGUGAACCUCAUAUCUCUGCCUGAAGGCAAUCCAGGUAUACUUUCAAGGAAGACAUCAAGAAAAGUCUAACUCUUUCGACAUUAUUCACACUACUCCAAACAACAUCAUUUAGCACCACAUGAGCUAAGUAUUUUUGACAGCCUUUCGAAAACAAUCUCUUUGCUCUCACAGCAUAAAUAAUGGCUGAACUCAAUCCACUUUGCAUACUUACAAAAGUAAUCUCUGGUCAUCCAGAUCGAUGGAAAGUACUGGUUUCCCUUAACAUUCCGUCUUGUCACAAUUAUAACCAACCAAUCUAAUGGAACAGAAUUAACUGAUACAAUACAUACUCUAUUACUACUAAGCAUUCUGAAUAAGUACAACACUAACAUAAAAUAACCUACCGGUUUGCUUGCUUAAUGAAUCCACGAAUGAGUUAUUAAUAUUACGGUCUGCAGCCCGCAAUACUGAUAAAUCAUCGUUGUCUCAAUAAGUAGGCAACCACUCUCAAAGAUAUAACAUUACUAAUUUGUCACUCAAUGCAAAAUACAUACACUCGUCUCAACUACAUUUAUUUACUACUCUUUAGGUAAUAACAUACAUAAUAAGAAAUAUAUCAGCCGAAGUCAACUAGAAUGACCAAUACGGCUGAUUCAACUCUUAUCUCAAUAAUACGUCGGCCGGAUCCACUCCGCGUGGUCGGUACGGCCGAGCCUAUAACUCACCAAUUUCUCAUGCGUCAGCCAGAUCCACCUCUCAUGGUCUGUACGGCUGAACAUAUAACUCAUCAAAUCUCUCUGUACCCACGGUCAAUCCGACCAAACUACUAAGUCCAUAAACCUGCUGAAUUGAUACUACGAUGUCAUAGAAAAUUGUUGGGUACAACUGAUUUUAGGGACGAUUCACAAUUCUGUGUCCCCUCUGUUCACAUAAACACAUUUAUUAAUUUCACACUUCCCAAAGUGUUAAUUUUUGUACCUGCUGCACAAGGUACAUUUCCUUUACUCGAAACACCUUGUCUCAAAUAUCUGGGAUUACCAGUAUAUCCAUCACUUUUACUCUGACCAGCGACAUUAAAACCUCAGCUGGAAGAAUUAAUUCUAGCUUCACUUCUUUCGAAGCUCUGAAUCUUUCUAUAUCCUUGAUAUGACGAAUCAUUAACUUUAUCGUCAACUUCCUUGAUUCACAUUUGCAAACUCUUGCUUACUACCAUCGAUAAAUGCCGGAGGGAUAAACUUUUCCUUAAACAAGUCCUUAAACAAUUCUCAAUCGACUAUUCCUCCGGUGACAACAAAUCAUACUCCUGUUUCCACCAGUAUACAAAUUCAUACCCAAAACCAGGUAGUCGUCUCGACCCCCUGUCAGAAGGAAGAUUCCUUUGACUUGCAUAAUCUGAAACAUCUUUUCCAAAUGGUUAAACCGUUACUUCGCUCCCUCAGGUUCAUCAUUUCAUAAGGUGAUUCAAAUUCGACUCAUAACCCGUCUUAAAAUGUCCCUUUAGACAAUAGACUGAAUCACCAUAGUAAUAGUUUCCCCCUAAACCGCUAAAUCAGGGAGACUAAGUUCCUCUAACUACGUGGCUUGCUACGAGGCGGUGUAGUUCUGACAGAAUUCACUAGAACUUCUCAAAAUGUCCAAGAUUGCAACCAUGCUCUGAUACCAACUGACACACCCCGUCCCGAAGGAGGGCAUGCUGGCCGUCACGUGAGAGUGACGUAACCAUUUGCACAGUACGGAAGCUUUAAGAUACAAUUUAUAAGUUGAUACACCCGAAGGUGAGUCCUAAUUUUGUCCAAUCUGUCAGAACACCGUCGAAUUCCUCGUAGUCACCACACCUUUGUGAUUCCUGAACCUGGAGGGGCGCAAAACCAAAAUUGAGUGGGUCAGUAAAACAAUUCUUUUCCAAAUCCAAACAUUUCUCAAAACGUUGUAACCCCUCUCCGUAAAACCUGUAUACUUUCCCAGAAAUGUAAAAUAUAAAUAUACAUAUAUAUUCUCAAUACUUCAAUUCAUUAACUCAACAUUUUUCAGUACAAAUAUGCCAUGCCAUGUCGGAAUUCAACAGUUAAUUAUGGAUGCAUCAACAAUAAUCAUAUCAGGUGUAAGAAAGUGAUCAACCGGAGGCCCUCUAAUAGCCCUGUACGGUUGAACCUAGAGCUCAAAAUCUAUCACUAUCACUCUGCCGGAGUCACCUCUGUGACCUGUACGGCCUUCUGCACAUAAGUUACGCUCUAGUGCUUUCUCAUUAAUCAUCUGUGCACAUAAUCUAAGGUCACCCACCAGUCGAAAUCUCACUAACACUCUUCGACUGGCCCGUCGCACCCACUCCGCGUGGACUGUGCGACCAGCAUCUACUUGGAUCCAAGGCGAGCGUGCGAUGCGGUGAAUACUAUAAGCACUAAACUAUGGUGCAGGAUUUGAGCUCAAUAUACAUCAACAUCAUCAUAUCAGUAUUUAAAUACUCACCUGAUACUCACCUGUGCGUCCGCCGCACCAUUCAUUCAUAUGCAUCAUAUCUCAAUUCAUACUUUUCAUAUCAUUUCAUGCAUGGCAAUUCGAUUCACAUUUCUAUAUACUAUGCAUAUACUUUUAUGCAUGGCAUCUCAAUUCACAUUUCAAUAUACUUUUCAUAUAAUUUUAUACAUUGCAUUUAAAGCAUAAUUUCAUGCAUUUUCAAUUUCUGGGAAAACGGUAAGUAUAGUAUAUAUGUAUACGGAAAAACAAAACUGCCCUCACUCCUGGAGUUUCGCCCUACAACUCCCUAGCACAAUACGCCAAAGCGUCAUGACGAUCGGCGCCUAAAACAAUAAUCAAUUCCAACCUCAGAAUUCAUAUCGAUAGAAUAUAUAACUUAUACAAAAUACGUCACUACGUAGUUCAAUCCGGAAGAUCCACCACUCAGAUUUUAAAUCCAUAACUUCCAGAGGUCCACAAUAUAUCUCUAGGAUAACUUCCUAAAAUUUCAUUACCAUCCAACGGUCGGAUCUCCGUCAAUUUCCAAAACUAAGUGACGGUUAACAUUUUAUUUUAUGAACUUACAACUCCAAUUCCGGAAGAUCCGUAACUCGGAUUCCCAAUCCGUAAGUUCCAAUAAUCCUCAAACAUUACGUAUUGCAACGUAUUAAAUUUUGGUAACGAUCCAACGGUCGGAUCAUCAAUUCACAUUUUCACCUAAUGCGAAAACUAUAAAACGUUAUUCGAACACCUAACCAACAAUCCUUAAUAACUUUCUCAUACGGUGCUCAAUUUGGGUAUAUGAAUAUACCACAGUGAUCUACUCGACGUCACGGACGUCGACAUAUUUUUAAAAUAAUAUUUUAAUGUAUCACGCGCCCCCACGCGCCAAGGAAGGCACGGGUCCACGCGCGCCCACGCGCACCUUCUUCCUCGCGGGUUCGCCGGACUGGUUUUUCCGGUGGCCGGAAAACUGGGGAAUUUUCAAAUGCUUCGUUCUCCUUCGUUUCUCAACCAUUUUCUUCGUAUAAUAUAUCAAUUUAAAGCCCUCAACAUGUAGAAUCACAAUAUACUACUUUUAAGCUUCAAAAACAACUAAAUCUCACCGGAAAAAUCCAAGCAAAACCGGCCAAACUUAACCCUCGUGAUCCCGACGUCCAAAUCCUUCCAACGAAGCACUCCGAGCUUCCUUGGGACCUCACUAAGCUCGCUGUGAUCUUGUUUUAGCCUAAAUCGUAACCAUUUAAAAGAUCAUGAACAGUACAUAAACACGGGACCUUAAAAACUAGGGUUUUCCGAAGCAAAACUUACCUGAAAUGGAUACCAUCGUGAUCGUGAAGUCUUCAGGGUUCCAAUGGUGGUCUUAGAUUCGUCGUUGGUAUAGAUUUAGGGUGGUUUUGUGGUGGUCCGUGUGAGUUCGAAUGAGAGGGAGAGAGAACUGAGAGUUUCGUGAGGGAGGAGAGAGAGAGUGACAAGGUACGGGAAUUGGGGAAGGUUUUGAGGGAUGUGGGAUCCCCCCGUGUCCAACUCAAUCUCAAUUUCAAACUUUUAACAUAGAGUCUUGGUUUAGGUUUCUAAAACCAAUUAAUAUUCCAAUUCACCAAAGUUUAAGAACCUUAAGUAAAAACAAGUGUCCAAAUUACGUACUUUAGUCCCGUUUAGGGACAUUUUCGUAACUUCACGUCCUCGGAAUUAAAAAUUCCGGGACGGGCUGUGACAUCUGCAUACGUUUUAUGAAGUUUUGUGCGGCGAAAAUGACACAAAAAUAGAAUUUUCUAGAAUUUAGGAAAACUGAGUAAAAUGAUGGGAGCAUUUUUGCUCACCACCAUAAACUAUGGUGUAUACUCACCACACACCCAAUCAAUUGACACUUGUUAUUUCACUUAAUCUUGGUUAAUUUUUUUCAAAAUUGAAAAAUUAACAUUUAAUGUGAAAGUUAACUAGAGUUAAGUGAAAUGACAUGUGUUAUUUCACUUAAUCUUGGUUAAUUUUUUUCAAAAUUGAAAAAUUAACAUUUAAUGUGAAAGUUAACUAGAGUUAAGUGAAAUGACACGUGUCAAUUGAUUAGAUGUAUGGUGAGCAUACACCGUAGUUUUAUGGUGGUGAGCAAAAAUGCUCCCGUAAAAUGAUAGCCUACAAUCUUUGUGAGCAAUGCGUUAUUGAGUUUUCAUAAGAUCUUUUGCCAAAUAUGCAAAAAAAAAAAAAAAAAAAAAAAAAAAAGUUAUAGGCCACUUGGAAACGGAUCUCCUGUAUAAAUGUGGAAUAAAUAAUGAUGUUAAAAAAAAUAAACUAAGUGAAUUUUUAUUGACAUGUAAGUAUUCCUCCAUCAUUUAUUGAUUAACACAUAUAAUGACAUUUAGCUCAAAGUGAAGAGCAAAAAUAUGCACUGAAUCAUUUUGUAAAGAAAAAGAAAACCAAGAAUAUGAAUGCCUUCGAAGCUGUUUUUGGUAUUUGUUGUUCUUGACAGGUACGAAUUGCAAUGCAUUUUUUGCUGCCUUGCUUAUGUUCUCUGCAUAGUAAUAAGUUAAUAACCAGUUCAUGAUAUUCUGUUGACUUACAUAAAAAGCACGGCCAAAAGUUCAGUGAUAUAUUUGGAUGAAAAUAGUUUGUUUUAAAAAAAUGUCUGUCCGGGGCUUGUAACUCCAGCUACUAAGAGUAUUUACCUUAAAAAUCGAAACAAAGUCGACUUUGAGGGCGUGCAAUAUGUGCGACUGCAUAGGACCCCGACUUUUUAGGGCCCUGAAUUUUAAUAACCUUUUGUGAAAGUAGUACAUGUUUAUAAGACGCGGGAAUAUUAAAUACAAUAGUGCUUAGCUGAGUUGUCAAGCUUCCAUUAUUUUCGAAUCCCUGCCUUCAUGUUUGUUAUUUUUGUUUUUAUUUUCCAAUUGUGGUAUUAUAGUGUGUUUACAUAAGAAGAGUGGAAUGAGAGAAAUGAGAAUUGCACUCAUUCCAAGUUAUUCAAGUGUUUAUUAACACUUGGGGUUUAGGGUUGUUUCUCUGUCUCUAUGGGCAACGACCAAUAUGAAAGAAGAAAAUGGAGAAAAGAGAUGGGAAAGCUGAAAAGAGUUGGGGGAUGGGGUGCAGCGCGGACUUCACGAGAAAGUAAAAAGAAUUGGGGGAUGGGGAAGAAAAAUCAGAAGGGAAGAAGAAGAAGAAUCAAGAGUGAAGAAUCAGAAGAAGAUGGGAAAAAGAGAUGGGAAAUCUGAAAAGAGUUGGGGGAUGGGGUGGGGGCUUUACCAGAAAGAAAAAGGAAUUGGGGGAUGGGGAAGAAGGCAUUACAGGUGAGGAUUAGUUUAGGUCUAGUUGUGGUAGAUGGAUUAGUUAAUUCAGUCCAACAAAAACACUAAAUAUACAGUGCCUAAUUUUAAAAAGCCAGAAAGGCAAUUACUCAAGUUUGCGAAUCCAACAGAGAAAUUAUUGCACAGCCUCUCAAACAAACCAAACCAAACUGACCCUCCCUCUCAAUAUAAUCUCCCUCGUUCACCAAUUUCUCCUCAUCAGCCAAAAUAUGAAGGCUGUCUACUUUCUACUUUCCUUUCUUCUCUUCUCUUCCUUCUCAUCAUUCUCUUCCGCUCUAACUGAUGCCGAAGUGUCCUCCAUUACUCGCCGUCAGCUCUUACAUUUUCACGAAGGCGAUGACCAACGCGAUGAAAAAGAAUAUGAGGUUGAGUUGAACGUAACUUUCCCUCACACCAGGCUUAGACGUGCAUACAUUGCACUCCAAGCUUGGAAAAAGGCAAUUUACUCAGACCCUCUUAAAACAACUGAGAAUUGGGUUGGUGGUGAUGUUUGUGCUUACACCGGAGUGUUUUGUGCCCCUGCACUUGAUGACCCGAAAAUAGAGGUUGUGGCCGGCAUUGAUAUCAACCAUGCAGACAUUGCAGGAUACCUUCCGGUUGAAUUAGGCCUGCUGAGUGACAUUGCAUUGUUCCACAUCAACACUAACAGGUUUUGUGGUGUCAUUCCCAAGAGCUUUGCUAGGUUAACUCUUCUCCACGAGCUUGAUGUUAGCAACAACCAAUUCGUGGGAUCGUUCCCUGAAGUUGUUCUCAAAAUUCCCAACCUCAAGUAUCUUGACCUCAGGUUUAAUGACUUCGAGGGAAAAUUGCCUCCUGAGCUUUUCAACAAGGAAUUGGAUGCUUUGUUCUUGAACAACAACAAGUUCACAUCCACCAUUCCUGACACACUUGGAAACUCCCCCGUCUCGGUUCUUGUGGUCUCCAACAAUCGUCUAGAAGGUUGCAUUCCUCACACCAUAGGAAAGAUGGUGAACACCUUGAAUGAGGUCAUCUUCUCUGAAAACAAGUUUGGUGGGUGUUUGCCUAAUGAAAUCGGAUACCUCUCAAAUGUGACGGUGUUUGAUGUUAGCUCAAACACAUUCAACGGGAUCAUGUCGAAAAAAUUCGAAGGCUUUCAAAAGGUGGAGGAGUUGAACAUUGCACAUAACAUGCUAACCGGGUUUGUUCCUGAGUGUUUAUGCAACUUGCCUAGCUUGGGAAAUUUCACAUUUUCCUACAACUACUUCAAUGGUGAGGCCAAAAAAUGUGUGCCGGUUUCUCAGAAGGGCGUUGUGUUUGAAGACACAAACAAUUGCUUGCCGGAUAGGCCUAAACAGAAGUCAGCAAAACAAUGUCAAGUUGUAGUGAGCAAGCCAGUGGAUUGUAGUAAGGCAAAGUGUGGAGGUGGAUCAGGACCUUCAAAACCUUCCCUUCCUACACCAAAACUGCAACCACCUAUUCACUCUGCACCACCACAUGUACAAAUGCCUUCAUUCCCUGCACCUUCAGGUCAAAGUCCAGUUGUUCCAAUUCACCCUAAGUCACCACCGGUUCAUUCACCACCACCACCACCAUUCCAUUCUCCUCCACCACCUAUAGCAACACCACCAUCACCCGCAUCUAUAGGGCAAAGUCCCGUUGUUCCAAUUCAACCUAAAUCACCCAUACCACUAAGGCAAACUCCUCCACCACCAUUAGUCAACUCAUCCCCACCACCAAUUUACUCUCCCCCACCACCAGUGCACUCACCCCCACCACCGGUCCACUCACCCCUACCACCAGUCCAUUCUCCAC
rnacentral:lncRNA from 1 species